GGUUAAGCGACUAAGCGUACACGGUGGAUGCCCUGGCAGUCAGAGGCGAUGAAGGACGUGCUAAUCUGCGAAAAGCGUCGGUAAGGUGAUAUGAACCGUUACAGCCGGCGAUGUCCGAAUGGGGAAACCCAGUGUGAUUCGUCACACUAUCGUUAACUGAAUACAUAGGUUAACGAGGCGAACCGGGGGAACUGAAACAUCUAAGUACCCCGAGGAAAAGAAAUCAACCGAGAUUCCCCCAGUAGCGGCGAGCGAACGGGGAGCAGCCCAGAGUCUGAAUCAGCUUGUGUGUUAGUGGAACGGUCUGGAAAGUCCGACGGUACAGGGUGAUAGUCCCGUACACCAAAAUGCACAGGYUGUGAACUCGAAGAGUAGGGCGGGACACGUGGUAUCCUGUCUGAAUAUGGGGGGACCAUCCUCCAAGGCUAAAUACUCCUGACUGACCGAUAGUGAACCAGUACCGUGAGGGAAAGGCGAAAAGAACCCCGGCGAGGGGAGUGAAAAAGAACCUGAAACCGUGUACGUACAAGCAGUGGGAGCACCUUUAGGGUGUGACUGCGUACCUUUUGUAUAAUGGGUCAGCGACUUAUAUUCUGUAGCAAGGUUAACCGUAUAGGGGAGCCGCAGGGAAACCGAGUCUUAACUGGGCGUUAAGUUGCAGGGUAUAGACCCGAAACCCGGUGAUCUAGCCAUGGGCAGGUUGAAGGUUGGGUAACACUAACUGGAGGACCGAACCGACUAAUGUUGAAAAAUUAGCGGAUGACUUGUGGCUGGGGGUGAAAGGCCAAUCAAACCGGGAGAUAGCUGGUUCUCCCCGAAAGCUAUUUAGGUAGCGCCUCGUGAAUUCAUCUUCGGGGGUAGAGCACUGUUUCGGCUAGGGGGUCAUCCCGACUUACCAACCCGAUGCAAACUACGAAUACCGAAGAAUGUUAUCACGGGAGACACACGGCGGGUGCUAACGUCCGUCGUGAAGAGGGAAACAACCCAGACCGCCAGCUAAGGUCCCAAAGUCACAGUUAAGUGGGAAACGAUGUGGGAAGGCACAGACAGCCAGGAUGUUGGCUUAGAAGCAGCCAUCAUUUAAAGAAAGCGUAAUAGCUCACUGGUCGAGUCGGCCUGCGCGGAAGAUGUAACGGGGCUAAACUGUGCACCGAAGCUGCGGCAGCGACACUAUGUGUUGUUGGGUAGGGGAGCGUUCUGUAAGCCUGCGAAGGUGGCCUGUGAGGGUUGCUGGAGGUAUCAGAAGUGCGAAUGCUGACAUAAGUAACGAUAAUGCGGGUGAAAAGCCCGCACGCCGGAAGACCAAGGGUUCCUGUCCAACGUUAAUCGGGGCAGGGUGAGUCGACCCCUAAGGCGAGGCCGAAAGGCGUAGUCGAUGGGAAACAGGUUAAUAUUCCUGUACUUGGUGUUACUGCGAAGGGGGGACGGAGAAGGCUAUGUUAGCCGGGCGACGGUUGUCCCGGUUUAAGCAUGUAGGCGGAGGUUCCAGGUAAAUCCGGUACCUUUUAACGCUGAGGUGUGAUGACGAGGCACUACGGUGCUGAAGUAACAAAUGCCCUGCUUCCAGGAAAAGCCUCUAAGCAUCAGGUAACAUUAAAUCGUACCCCAAACCGACACAGGUGGUCAGGUAGAGAAUACCAAGGCGCUUGAGAGAACUCGGGUGAAGGAACUAGGCAAAAUGGUGCCGUAACUUCGGGAGAAGGCACGCUGAUAUGUAGGUGANNNNNNNNNNNNUGGAGCUGAAAUCAGUCGAAGAUACCAGCUGGCUGCAACUGUUUAUUAAAAACACAGCACUGUGCAAACACGAAAGUGGACGUAUACGGUGUGACGCCUGCCCGGUGCCGGAAGGUUAAUUGAUGGGGUUAUCCGUAAGGAGAAGCUCUUGAUCGAAGCCCCGGUAAACGGCGGCCGUAACUAUAACGGUCCUAAGGUAGCGAAAUUCCUUGUCGGGUAAGUUCCGACCUGCACGAAUGGCGUAAUGAUGGCCAGGCUGUCUCCACCCGAGACUCAGUGAAAUUGAACUCGCUGUGAAGAUGCAGUGUACCCGCGGCAAGACGGAAAGACCCCGUGAACCUUUACUAUAGCUUGACACUGAACAUUGAGCCUUGAUGUGUAGGAUAGGUGGGAGGCUUUGAAGCGUGGACGCCAGUCUGCGUGGAGCCAACCUUGAAAUACCACCCUUUAAUGUUUGAUGUUCUAACGUUGGCCCCUAAUCGGGGUUGCGGACAGUGUCUGGUGGGUAGUUUGACUGGGGCGGUCUCCUCCCAAAGAGUAACGGAGGAGCACGAAGGUUAGCUAAUCCUGGUCGGACAUCAGGAGGUUAGUGCAAUGGCAUAAGCUAGCUUGACUGCGAGCGUGACGGCGCGAGCAGGUGCGAAAGCAGGUCAUAGUGAUCCGGUGGUUCUGAAUGGAAGGGCCAUCGCUCAACGGAUAAAAGGUACUCCGGGGAUAACAGGCUGAUACCGCCCAAGAGUUCAUAUCGACGGCGGUGUUUGGCACCUCGAUGUCGGCUCAUCACAUCCUGGGGCUGAAGUAGGUCCCAAGGGUAUGGCUGUUCGCCAUUUAAAGUGGUACGCGAGCUGGGUUUAGAACGUCGUGAGACAGUUCGGUCCCUAUCUGCCGUGGGCGCUGGAGAAUUGAGGGGGGCUGCUCCUAGUACGAGAGGACCGGAGUGGACGCAUCACUGGUGUUCGGGUUGUCAUGCCAAUGGCAUUGCCCGGUAGCUAAAUGCGGAAGAGAUAAGUGCUGAAAGCAUCUAAGCACGAAACUUGCCCCGAGAUGAGUUCUCCCUGAGACUUUAAGUCUCCUGAAGGAACGUUAAAGACGAUGACGUUGAUAGGUCGGGUGUGUAAGCGUAGCGAUACGUUGAGCUAACCGAUACUAAUGAACCGUGAGGCUUAACCUU
rnacentral:rRNA from 1 species